CCCUAACUAUAUAAGCAAAAAUCCCAAAUUCUUAGUUUCUUCGGGAAGCCUCUAUCAACAUCCAUAUUCGCUGUUUCGCAGCAUCAAACCCAGCCAUCAAAAUCAACAAUCUCCCACUAACUUCAGCCUCUAUCAACAUCAGUCGCUCCAUUCCAAUUUCAGUUCGACAAGCCACUAACUUUAUAGGUGCGCUUUUACAAUCAUGGCAUUCAAAUCCCCAAUUUAUAUGAGCGGAAUGGAUGUUUGUGUUUUCAAUGGCCAUAUUAAAAUGGCAGAGUGGAAUCACGCGAAAGAAGGAGAAGAAGGAUCUGGGUUUGCGUUUGUUUUGGAUUGCGCAUGACACCAUACAUCUUGAGUUCAGAAAUACUGCUGUUAUGUAUAGUGGGAAGAGUAUGAGGCGUUGCAAUCAUAACUCAUGCAGGGAGAAAAUGCAAUGCCAACCCCUGAAGCCCGAAGACACCCUAUGAAGUUUUCUAAUUGAGAGGAAAGUCUGUAGAGAUUUAAUUUCGGUCUCCAAAAUCAUUGAAUCAAUGUUCAGGGAUUCAGGAAGGUUGAUCCAAACUGGUGGGAGUUUGCAAACGAGUGGUUCCCAAGGAGCAGAUACAUUUAUUGAAAAAUUUUGUGAGGAGAAAAUGCAACAAUAACUUUUCCUCUCAGAGUUCAUGUUCUGGAUUUCUGUUUCAGGGUUGGACCUAAUUUUCAAGUUUUCAGCUUUAUAAUCCCAAAAGCUAGGAGAGAUUUAGGGCUUGACAUAAUCUAAAAGCCAUGGGAGAAGAUCAUGUGUACACAAAAGAUCAGAGGGUUGAAUCCAUUCCAGAUAGUUUCUCAAAUUUUGAUUUGUUUUUAGUGUUACCCCGUUCUCUUCUUUUUACCAAAACCUGUCUUCAUUUGUUUGUGUACAGCUCCUUGCAUUCUCUGGCUCACACCCACUUAACAGUAAUCGGCUCAGGUGAUUUAUAUGAUCUCUUAUAUAUGCCAAUGUAAUUCAUAUAUGAUCUGUAUGAUAUAGUAUUGUUUAAUGAUUACAUCAGUUUAAAUGGUUAGUUGUAGUUGGAGUAACCGUAUCGGAAUUGCUUAGUGAGGGUGCACUUGCUAUUGUUAGUUUCUUAUUCUUUCCCGUUGUUUGAAUUGUACUUAACUAUCUCAAUUAUUUCUGCACGAUCAAAUUGCUUUUCCACAGUGAUUUCUAUUCAAUGUUAAUGAUCUAUAUGUCUUAUCAACUUCACGUUGUUCAAUACGUAUUUCUGUAGCUCUGUUUAUUUGAAUCAGUCAUGUAGAGUUUCUAAACUGUAAUACAUUGCCCUAAAAAGGUUCUUCCCUUUUCCUUUCCAGUUUUAAUAGUGAGGUUUCUUCCCUUUUCGUUUCCCUUACAAGCUGGAAUUUGGGCUUUUGAACAUCAAGCUUGAACGUAUGGAUACUUUCUUUUCCUGUUAUCUUUAGUCAACGUCUUAGUUUGAGUGAACAAAAACUAGAGGAUCAGAUGUUUUGACUCCACAGAGGUGCACUCUCUACAGUGACUGUAUUUGUUUAUGCAAAUUCUGUAUGCAAGCAGGUCUGCCAUUACCCUGAUCCUGUAACAAGGUAAACAAAAUCUAUUCACCUAUUGAAAGAUGGAAAAGACCAUUUGGUUAAAGCUUUCACUUCAAAACCACAUUAUUUUGAAUCCCUAUUAUAGUUUGGCUCACUAUUUACCUGAGUGAGUGCAUGGGUCAGUAUUCUAUCAGGAAUUAGAUAACAAAAAGCUUUAUUGAUUAGCUAUUUCUUAUUCCACUUAUGCUAUUCUGCUAUAUUUGUGCACAAAUUUUUAGGGUCGCAAGUUUGAAUGAAUUCUAUAGUUACUAUACUAGAGAAGAAUAGAGCUUGAAGAAUGGUUUGGGUUGCUCUACUGGGCACUUUUAGACGUUUUUGUCAUGCCAAUUGAGGCUCUUUACUACAUUUCAAAAAAAAGAUGAAGAUCCUCUUGACCCUUUGUAUUAUGUAUGGCAGUCUUUCGACAUAAGUUCAAUACAAACUUCAUUUACUUCUCUUUUUAAAUCCUUUUGUUCUUUUCUUUUCAGGUUUAACAUUGCACCAGACUUGAUGAAUCAAGCAAAAGAUUAUUUGAACAGAACUAUGUUUGUUAUAUUGUUGGCUAGAGUGAGUGUUUUAGAAUGCAAAAAAAAAAAAAAAAUGUAUCUUCUAAUGUUCCAAUUAUGUUUAUUCGACCCAAAAGUUGUGGUUGCACAGUUUUGUGCAGUCCCGCUUACUUUGAAUGCCAAUUUAGGAUG